GGUUAAGCGACUAAGCGUACACGGUGGAUGCCCUGGCAGUCAGAGGCGAUGAAGGACGUGCUAAUCUGCGAUAAGCGUCGGUGAGGUGAUAUGAACCGUUAUAACCGGCGAUUUCCGAAUGGGGAAACCCAGUGUGAUUCGUCACACUAUCAUUAACUGAAUCCAUAGGUUAAUGAGGCGAACCGGGGGAACUGAAACAUCUAAGUACCCCGAGGAAAAGAAAUCAACCGAGAUUCCCCCAGUAGCGGCGAGCGAACGGGGAGCAGCCCAGAGCCUGAAUCAGUGUGUGUGUUAGUGGAAGCGUCUGGAAAGGCGCGCGAUACAGGGUGACAGCCCCGUACACAAAAAUGCACAUGCUGUGAGCUCGAUGAGUAGGGCGGGACACGUGGUAUCCUGUCUGAAUAUGGGGGGACCAUCCUCCAAGGCUAAAUACUCCUGACUGACCGAUAGUGAACCAGUACCGUGAGGGAAAGGCGAAAAGAACCCCGGCGAGGGGAGUGAAAAAGAACCUGAAACCGUGUACGUACAAGCAGUGGGAGCACAGAGCAAUCUGUGUGACUGCGUACCUUUUGUAUAAUGGGUCAGCGACUUAUAUUCUGUAGCAAGGUUAACCGAAUAGGGGAGCCGAAGGGAAACCGAGUCUUAACUGGGCGUUAAGUUGCAGGGUAUAGACCCGAAACCCGGUGAUCUAGCCAUGGGCAGGUUGAAGGUUGGGUAACACUAACUGGAGGACCGAACCGACUAAUGUUGAAAAAUUAGCGGAUGACUUGUGGCUGGGGGUGAAAGGCCAAUCAAACCGGGAGAUAGCUGGUUCUCCCCGAAAGCUAUUUAGGUAGCGCCUCGUGAAUUCAUCUCCGGGGGUAGAGCACUGUUUCGGCAAGGGGGUCAUCCCGACUUACCAACCCGAUGCAAACUGCGAAUACCGGAGAAUGUUAUCACGGGAGACACACGGCGGGUGCUAACGUCCGUCGUGAAGAGGGAAACAACCCAGACCGCCAGCUAAGGUCCCAAAGUCAUGGUUAAGUGGGAAACGAUGUGGGAAGGCCCAGACAGCCAGGAUGUUGGCUUAGAAGCAGCCAUCAUUUAAAGAAAGCGUAAUAGCUCACUGGUCGAGUCGGCCUGCGCGGAAGAUGUAACGGGGCUAAACCAUGCACCGAAGCUGCGGCAGCGACGCUUAUGCGUUGUUGGGUAGGGGAGCGUUCUGUAAGCCUGCGAAGGUGUGCUGUGAGGCAUGCUGGAGGUAUCAGAAGUGCGAAUGCUGACAUAAGUAACGAUAAAGCGGGUGAAAAGCCCGCUCGCCGGAAGACCAAGGGUUCCUGUCCAACGUUAAUCGGGGCAGGGUGAGUCGACCCCUAAGGCGAGGCCGAAAGGCGUAGUCGAUGGGAAACAGGUUAAUAUUCCUGUACUUGGUGUUACUGCGAAGGGGGGACGGAGAAGGCUAUGUUGGCCGGGCGACGGUUGUCCCGGUUUAAGCGGGUAGGCUGGUUUUCCAGGCAAAUCCGGAAAACUAAGGCUGAGGCGUGAUGACGAGGCACUACGGUGCUGAAGCAACAAAUGCCCUGCUUCCAGGAAAAGCCUCUAAGCAUCAGGUAACAUCAAAUCGUACCCCAAACCGACACAGGUGGUCAGGUAGAGAAUACCAAGGCGCUUGAGAGAACUCGGGUGAAGGAACUAGGCAAAAUGGUGCCGUAACUUCGGGAGAAGGCACGCUGAUAUGUAGGUGAAGUCCCUCGCGGAUGGAGCUGAAAUCAGUCGAAGAUACCAGCUGGCUGCAACUGUUUAUUAAAAACACAGCACUGUGCAAACACGAAAGUGGACGUAUACGGUGUGACGCCUGCCCGGUGCCGGAAGGUUAAUUGAUGGGGUUAGCGGUAACGCGAAGCUCUUGAUCGAAGCCCCGGUAAACGGCGGCCGUAACUAUAACGGUCCUAAGGUAGCGAAAUUCCUUGUCGGGUAAGUUCCGACCUGCACGAAUGGCGUAAUGAUGGCCAGGCUGUCUCCACCCGAGACUCAGUGAAAUUGAACUCGCUGUGAAGAUGCAGUGUACCCGCGGCAAGACGGAAAGACCCCGUGAACCUUUACUAUAGCUUGACACUGAACAUUGAGCCUUGAUGUGUAGGAUAGGUGGGAGGCUUAGAAGUGUGGACGCCAGUCUGCAUGGAGCCGACCUUGAAAUACCACCCUUUAAUGUUUGAUGUUCUAACGUGGACCCGUGAUCCGGGUUGCGGACAGUGUCUGGUGGGUAGUUUGACUGGGGCGGUCUCCUCCUAAAGAGUAACGGAGGAGCACGAAGGUUGGCUAAUCCUGGUCGGACAUCAGGAGGUUAGUGCAAUGGCAUAAGCCAGCUUGACUGCGAGCGUGACGGCGCGAGCAGGUGCGAAAGCAGGUCAUAGUGAUCCGGUGGUUCUGAAUGGAAGGGCCAUCGCUCAACGGAUAAAAGGUACUCCGGGGAUAACAGGCUGAUACCGCCCAAGAGUUCAUAUCGACGGCGGUGUUUGGCACCUCGAUGUCGGCUCAUCACAUCCUGGGGCUGAAGUAGGUCCCAAGGGUAUGGCUGUUCGCCAUUUAAAGUGGUACGCGAGCUGGGUUUAGAACGUCGUGAGACAGUUCGGUCCCUAUCUGCCGUGGGCGCUGGAGAACUGAGGGGGGCUGCUCCUAGUACGAGAGGACCGGAGUGGACGCAUCACUGGUGUUCGGGUUGUCAUGCCAAUGGCACUGCCCGGUAGCUAAAUGCGGAAGAGAUAAGUGCUGAAAGCAUCUAAGCACGAAACUUGCCCCGAGAUGAGUUCUCCCUGACUCCUUGAGAGUCCUGAAGGAACGUUGAAGACGACGACGUUGAUAGGCCGGGUGUGUAAGCGCAGCGAUGCGUUGAGCUAACCGGUACUAAUGAACCGUGAGGCUUAACCUU
rnacentral:rRNA from 1 species